rnacentral:rRNA from 1 species
CUGGGGGAGUGAUACCCCACUAUGCUUAGCCCUAAACAUAAAUAUUCAACUAACAAGAAUAUUCGCCAGAGAACUACUAGCCACAGCUUAAAACUCAAAGGACUUGGCGGUGCUUUAUACCCCUCUAGAGGAGCCUGUUCUAUAAUCGAUAAACCCCGUUAAACCUCACCACUCUUUGCAAUAUCAGCCUAUAUACCGCCAUCUUCAGCAAACCCUAACAAGGCAUCAUAGUAAGCAUAAUAACUCUACAUAAAAACGUUAGGUCAAGGUGUAGCCUAUAGAGUGGGAAGAAAUGGGCUACAUUUUCUAAUUCUCUAGAACAUUCCACGAUAGCCGUCAUGAAACAUGACUAGCCCGAGGCGGAUUUAGUAGUAAGUUGGGAAUAGAGUGCCCAACUGAAUUGGGCAAUAAAGCACGCACACAC